CUACGGGGCGCUCCAGUCGAGAAUCUUCCGCAAUGGACGAAAGCCUGACGGAGCGACGCCGCGUGCGGGAUGAAGGCCUUCGGGUUGUAAACCGCUGUCAGUGGGGAGGAAAUGCAUCAGGGUUCUCCCUGGUGUUUGACCGAUCCGCAGAGGAAGCGCAGGCUAAGUUCGUGCCAGCAGCCGCGGUAACACGAACUGCGCGAACGUUAUUCGGAAUCACUGGGCUUAAAGAGUUCGUAGGCGGCCUUUCAAGUCGGGUGUGAAAUCCCUCGGCUCAACCGAGGAAUUGCGCCUGAUACUGUUGGGCUUGAGGGGGAUAGGGGUGAGCGGAACUGAUGGUGGAGCGGUGAAAUGCGUUGAUAUCAUCAGGAACACCGGUGGCGAAGGCGGCUCACUGGAUCUCUUCUGACGCUGAGGAACGAAAGCUAGGGGAGCGAACGGGAUUAGAUACCCCAGUAGUC
rnacentral:rRNA from 1 species